rnacentral:rRNA from 1 species
GACGAACGCUGGCGGCGUGCUUAACACAUGCAAGUCGAGCGGUAAGGCCCUUUCGGGGGUACACGAGCGGCGAACGGGUGAGUAACACGUGGGUGACCUGCCCUCAGCUCUGGGAUAAGCCUGGGAAACCGGGUCUAAUACCGGAUAUGACUCCAUGACGCAUGUUGUGGGGUGGAAAGCCUUGUGCGGCUGAGGAUGGGCCCGCGGCCUAUCAGCUUGUUGGUGGGGUGAUGGCCUACCAAGGCGACGACGGGUAGCCGGCCUGAGAGGCGACCGGCCACACUGGGACUGAGACACGGCCCAGACUCCUACGGGAGCAGCAGUGGGGAAUCUUGCGCAAUGGGCGAAAGCCUGACGCAGCGACGCGCGUGAGGAUGACGGCU